UACGGGGGGGGCAAGCGUUGUUCGGAAUUACUGGGCGUAAAGGGCUCGUAGGCGGCCAACUAAGUCGGAUGUGAAAUCCCCAGGCUUAACCUGGGAACUGCAUCCGAUACUGGAUGGCUUGAAUUCGGGAGAGGGAUGCAGAAUUCCAGGUGUAGCGGUGAAAUGCGUAGAUAUCUGGAGGAACACCGGUGGCGAAGGCGGCAUCCUGGACCGAUACUGACGCUGAGGAGCGAAAGCCAGGGGAGCAAACGGG
rnacentral:rRNA from 1 species